GACGAACGCUGGCGGCGUGCUUAACACAUGCAAGUCGAACGGAAAGGCCCUGCUUUUGUGGGGUGCUCGAGUGGCGAACGGGUGAGUAACACGUGAGUAACCUGCCCUUGACUUUGGGAUAACUUCAGGGAACUGGGGCUAAUACCGGAUAGGAGCUCCUGCUGCAUGGUGGGGGUUGGAAAGUUUCGGCGGUUGGGGAUGGACUCGCGGCUUAUCAGCUUGUUGGUGGGGUAGUGGCUUACCAAGGCUUUGACGGGUAGCCGGCCUGAGAGGGUGACCGGCCACAUUGGGACUGAGAUACGGCCCAGACUCCUACGGGAGGCGGCAGUGGGGAAUAUUGCACAAUGGGCGGAAGCCUGAUGCAGCAACGCCGCGUGCGGGAUGACGGCCUUCGGGUUGUAAACCGCUUUCGCCUGUGACGAAGCGUGAGUGACGGUAAUGGGUAAAGAAGCACCGGCUAACUACGUG
rnacentral:rRNA from 1 species